UGUGACACUUGCCUCUCACCUCUGAUACAAAUUCUCUCUAGUUCUGCCCCUUUUCUCUCUCAGUAUCUCACACGGGGCUAUAAAAUCUGGGGCGAUUUCCCCCAUUUCCCCUCAAAUGAUCAGCUCUCCCAUCUCCCCCUAAUUAGGUUGGUGGGUUCUGGAGAUUUGGGCUUUCAGGGGGUGGUUGUGAUGUGCCCAGCCCUGAGGCUAUGGGUCUUGGAGGUGGGUAUCGCUGGGGGCCUGUUGGCUGCAGAACAGCAGGGAUGGGCAUCUCUUGGGGAGGUGGGACAGGGGGUUAAGGGGAGCCUGGUGCUGUGCCGGGGGCUCUGUCUGGGCUUCCCCCGCAGACUCCUGGAAUUGCUGCCAUGCCCAGUGCACAGAGUGUGUGUGGGAGAAUCCCCGGAGCUAGGCCAGGGGAUCCCACAGGGGGAAAGAGGGAGUGCCAGGCAAAAGGGCAGGGAAGAUUCUUCUAGAGGGCAGGGGGGAUCCUAGGCAGGCAGUGAGGGACUGAGUUACCAGUGGGGGGUCCCUUUUGGGGGGUCUCUGGCUGUGGGGGUCUCUUGGUUGGGGGAACCCUUUGGGAUUUCCAACCUGACAAUGAAGAUCUGGUGGGGGUUCUUUGGCCGGUGGGGCUCUGAGGGAUAUGUGAGGUCCCUGGGCAGGGAGUCUGGGUCUCAGGGAAUAUCUGUGGGGUGGGCGGGGGGCUGACUGGGCUCUAGGAGCUGCUCCUGACCUCACUUCUUCUCCCUGAUUAGCUUAUGCCAGAAUCCUGGCUCCAAGCUCUGCCCGACCUUCCCCGGCCAGGCCAAGACACUGUGAUAACUUUCUAGCCACUUACCAAACACUGUGAGACAGGCUGCAGAAUGACAUCCCUGUUUUGCUCCAGCUCAUCCCAGCCUGGCGUGGGACAGGGAAGAGAAAUGGCUGCAGUGGAGCCAACUCAGGGGCCGGUGACCUUCGAGGAGGUGGCUGUGAAGUUCACCAGGGAAGAGUGGAUUCUGCUAGACCCCACUCAGAGAGUCCUCUACUGGGAUGUCAUGCAGGAGAACUAUGAGAAUGUGAUGUCUCUGGGUAAGGGUUCCUGUCCCCUCAGUUCUUGGAAGGGGAAAUGAAGAGUUAAGGUUCACGCCAGCCCCACAAUGCCACCUCUACUCUGUCCUGUUUCAGCAUCACCCCAACAUGCCAGUGACACACCCACACACACUACCAGAGACCCUCCCUUGCUGCAGAACACUUUGAGAACAGAGCACAGGAGCCAUAUUGCCACAGUGUCAAAUAGCUCCAGUUUGCUCAAGUGAAACUGGAGGUUAGGUAUGGCAUAACUGUUCCAGCCCCCUAAUCAUUUUUGUUGCCCUUUUCUGAACCUUUUCCAA